GUGGGGAAUCUUCGGCAAUGGGCGCAAGCCUGACCGAGCCAUGCCGCGUGAGCGAUGAAGGCCUUAGGGUUGUAAAGCUCUUUCGCCAGGGAUGAUAAUGACAGUACCUGGUAAAGAAACCCCGGCUAACUCCGUGCCAGCAGCCGCGGUAAUACGGAGGGGGUUAGCGUUGUUCGGAAUUACUGGGCGUAAAGCGCGCGUAGGCGGAUUGGAAAGUUGGGGGUGAAAUCCCGGGGCUCAACCUCGGAACUGCCUCCAAAACUCCCAGUCUUGAGUUCGAGAGAGGUGAGUGGAACUCCGAGUGUAGAGGUGAAAUUCGUAGAUAUUCGGAAGAACACCAGUGGCGAAGGCGGCUCACUGGCUCGAUACUGACGCUGAGGUGCGAAAGUGUGGGGAGCAAACAGGAUUAGAAACCCUAGUAGUCC
rnacentral:rRNA from 1 species